GUCUUCAGAUUAUACAACAAUCACCAAAACACCCCAAUCCCCAAGAGGUCGGAGGAGUCGCAACAAUGUCUUUCAUCCAGAAGCUGUGGAGGAAAGACCAGAGCGAUUAUGGUCUGAACUCCGCCCUUCAUGUUCCCAAUCGUGGCUGACGAGGUGAACGGUUAUCUGGAUGAAAACGACGACUCAGAAGAUUCACACGAUGACGGUGAAACUGACUUCCGUGGAGGAUCUCAAAGAGAAGCUUGUCUGACCUUGUGUGACCUCCUGCUGAAGAUCAGAAUUCAUACUGAAACAACUGAUCCUCUGAAACCUGCGAAUGUUCAAAAUCUUCACUUGAUAAAUGAUUCAAAGGAUCAGACCGGAAAAAACCCACAACUGACGAAAACAAAACAAAUGUUUUCAUGCUAAUCAGUGUCAGAGCCAGAGGUCAAAGGUCACGUCCAAAAACAUAAAAUCACACAGUCGCAUGAAGGCAGUGGGUCACAUGUUCUCCUCCUGAUACCUCUGGUACACACACACACACACACACACACACUCACACACACACACACACACACACACUCUCACACACA